rnacentral:rRNA from 1 species
CAUGUGGUUUAAUUCGAUGCAACGCGAAGAACCUUACCUACUCUUGACAUCCAGAGAACUUAGCAGAGAUGCUUUGGUGCCUUCGGGAACUCUGAGACAGGUGCUGCAUGGCUGUCGUCAGCGCGUGUUGUGAAAUGUUGGGUUAAGUCCCGCAACGAGCGCAACCCUUAUCCUUUCUUGCCAGCGGUUCGGCCGGGAACUCAAAGGAGACUGCCAGUGAUAAACUGGAGGAAGGUGGGGAUGACGUCAAGUCAUCAUGGCCCUUUCGAGUAGGGCUACACACGUGCUACAAUGGCAUAUACAAAGAGAAGCGACCUCGCGAGAGCAAGCGGACCUCAUAAAGUAUGUCGUAGUCCGGAUUGGAGUCUGCAACUCGACUCCAUGAAGUCGGAAUCGCUAGUAAUCGUAGAUCCGAAUGCUACGGUUAAUACGUUCCCGGGCCUUGUACACACCGCCCGUCACACCAUGGGAGUGGGUUGCAAAAGAAGUUGGUAGCUUAACCUUCGGGAGGGCGCUUACCACUUUGUGAUUCAUGACUGGGGUGAAGUCGUAACAAGGUAACCGUA